AACAAACAAAAAACCCCUGUCCUGCUAGCUGGGUGUCCAAAUCAACACGUGGCAAUGAUGGCGUAGCCAGGCCAAGCUCACGUAUGGAGCGGAUAUUUGGAAGGAGGCAGCAGCUGCCCCGAUUUGGGUGCAAAUGUCUCCCGGCUUCCUCAGCGCGGGGCACCUGCGGGGUGCAACGGCUGCGCCGUGCUCGGGCCACUGCUUAGCGAGAAAUUAGUGGAAAAGCAGUCCUCAGCUGUACAAUUUUGCAGCCGUGUUAUGCACCUGGGAAAACUACCCUUCAUAUUAGAAUAUCUGUCACAUGCAGCUUGAAAGACACUGCAAGAGUAAAAGGGAUGGGAUCCUUACUCCUCCUCUGCUGCCCUCUUAGUAAUCGCAAGGGAUCAACGUGUUCCAUGUGAUCAAAGAAAGGUGAAACUUCUGUGACAACAAGAUGAAAACAGGUUUGCACUGCAUCCUGUGGGAUAUUAGAAUGAGCUGCCAAGAAGCUAGAAGACAGGUCUUUCUAGACAAAAUAUCUAGACCAUGGAGCAUAUGGCAGCCUCCAAGGAAGACAACAUGUCUCAGUCUGCUGGAGAACUCUUCCCUUGCAGGCGACUUCUUUGGGAGAUGAAGGGAGAUGCCAGGGAUUUGGAUAACGUUCACUCAUCUCAGUCUUGGGGAAAAAUCUAGAUGGGCUGAUACGUGUUUGAGGACAUUGUGGAUGACCUCCAGGGGGACCGAACUCAUCAGAAAUCAGGUAUUAAAGGGCCGCUUCACCACUCCUGUCCCAUGUGAGAAAUGCAGGCAGAAAAUAAGGUCCUCAGUUGUACGCCACUCCCAACCAAACAACAAAACAAAACAGACAGAAACAACAACAACAACAACAAAAUGAACUUGAAAGAAGAAAUGGUCUGGUUGGGCUCUGGUAAUCCAUAUUUUAAAAAUUACAAGUGUCACAGGUAAUUUGAAGGCAGAUCAGGCAUCUUCUAAAUCAAAAUGUGUGGACCUCACUAGAAAAUACUACCAACAGUUAACAGUUAUAAAGGUAAAUAGGAACAAUUUCCAAUAGUUUAUUUUCAAAAGCAGUUAGUUGUUAACCCUAUUAAAAGUAAGUUAUGAUUUUCAAAAUGUCACGUCUUGUUUUUGUUUGCUUCAGCUUACAUAGAUGUUAUCUUCAUAAUAUGAUGACUGCUCUUUAAUAUUGACCAAUUGUCAUUGCACUUCACUGGCAAAAAAAAGAAAAAAAAAUCACAGGGUGUUAAGAUGAUUAAUGUAACUGUCAGGAAAAAUGUUAAUAAAUUUAUCUUAUCUACCUCAUAUACAAAGACAUAAUAUAUAUCAGGGUUUAUAUGCUUCAUUCACUUUGCAAAGCACAGCCUCUGACUUAAGUAAAUGUAUGCUAAAUUAUGAAUGUGAAAAGAAACAGAAAGAGGAAAAAGCAAGCUAUUAUUUUUUUUUUUAAUUUUAAAUCAGUCUUCAGAAACAAAUCUUUUUACCAUAUGUUUACACAAAACAUAGUCCUCACCCUGAUUUGAAGUUUUGAACAGCGCAGAGUUAUUAAUUAAAUUUUUAAUAAUUAAAAACAGUUUCUGUGAAAAGAAAAUCCAUGGAUCAAAAUAGAGAGAGAGGUGAUAUUGCAAUAUCCUGUGAGCAAACCUAGGCUUUGUGCCUUUUCCCCAUUGAUUAGAAUAAACUUUCAGCACAACCCUGGUUUGUUCCUUAGACAAGGAGCGUGGGUACCAGGCAGCUGUGUGGAAUCACUGCUGACCAGACUUUGCCUGUUGGAGCCUGUCCUCAGCAAUGUGUUCUGGGAGGCAACAUUUCUCUUAUUCACUGUGUAUAAUGCAAAAGGAGGACUCACUAGCUGUAUCAAGAAAAUAUACAGCACAUUUCAUUUCAAUUUUUUUUUUCACAAUAUUUUCAACUAAGAAGGGAACAUUAACAGAACAGAAAUGUCUUUAGGUUCAACAUCAUGUGGCAUACCUUCCCUCAGUCUUUUCCUAAGCACUUGGAGUUGGGCAUAUAUAACAAACAUAUUCUUGGUCCUCUUUCAGCAGACCUAAUGUGUCAAUAUGUAGAUAAGAUGAUAGGUGCAAUUUGGAACAGUGACAUUUUUGUUUUCCUUCUUUUUCCCCAGUGACUAAUUCACCCAGACAUUGCAACUGGUUAGUGACCAGAAGAGUUGAGUAACUCUGGUUGUACAUUUCAUAUAGUUUUAAUGGUUUUAGCCUCCUAGAUGUAUGUAUAAAACUCUGAAGAAUUUAUCCAGAUCACACUUUGAAAGCAGCUUUUCUUCUUUGGUGCUUUGAAUGUUGUUGAUAGUGUGGAACACUUCUGAGCACUUGUUUGAGUGCUGUGCUGGAGCUUUCUGUUUCCAGUAAAAAACUGAUGGAGAUCAACACUUUUUUGACACUCCUUGUACCAAGUGCUUAUAAAGUGUUUAUAUCUAUAAUUGUGUCAAAUUAUGCUAAUUAAGUGCUGAAAGACACUAGUAAGUUGAAGUACUCAAAAAGUGCAUUACUCUGAGUGUCACCCGGGGGCUCUUCACAGCAGACACUUGGGGGACAAUUUUUUUCUUUCCAAGCACCUUUAGAGCACUUUGUAUUAAAGUGUCUUUCUGACAUUAAUUAAAUUAAAAAAGCAAGUGACAGUUAAGUGCACAUGAUUUACUCUAAUCUUUUGAAAUGCAAAUGUAUUUUAGACUAAAAUGCCCUUCCUUUUUUACAAUUCUCCGUUUUCCUCCUCCAUUGUCUCCCACACCUUUUUUUUAUUGAGUAAUCAGUUGCUAAAAACAGCUUUGAUAAAGGCUGGGAAUUAACUCAAUUAUGAAUGAUUAGGCAGAAAAAUUGAACGAUUCAAAGAUCAAAUAACAAUGAUAGGGUUUCUAAUAACCUUAUGAGAAAAGAUCAUUGCUUAGGGGUAAUGCUGUAGAGACCUGUGCUGCUCUCAGAUUUUUGUCCACCCCGUCUCCAGGGUUACUCAUUAAUUCUAUGCUGAAGAAUUCUAGGGCAGCUGCAGAAGACAAGAGAUAUGAUUUUCUUCCAGUGAACAAAGGAGAUGUUCGUCAUUAGCCAUACACUGGUUACGCACUAAUGAGUUCUCAAAUACUAAGUGGUUUGGCCAAGGUGGUCUAGUAAAAUGGAAACUUAUGUCACACAUUAGAUGAUUGAACUCUGCUGUUCUAAGAUGGAAAACCUUUGUAUAGCACUACAGGUAUUUAGAAUGAGAAUACAUUUAAAACAAAA
ensembl:lncRNA